UACGUAGGGGGCGAGCGUUGUCCGGAAUUAUUGGGCGUAAAGAGCGUGUAGGCUGUUCGGUAAGUCUGCCGUGAAAACCUGAGGCUCAACCUCGGGCGUGCGGUGGAUACUGCCGGGCUAGAGGACGGUAGAGGCGAGUGGAAUUCCCGGUGUAGCGGUGAAAUGCGCAGAUAUCAGGAGGAACACCAGCGGCGAAGGCGCUGCUCUGGGCCGGUACUGACGCUGAGGAGCGAAAGCGUGGGGAGCGAACAGG
rnacentral:rRNA from 1 species